AGCAGCCGCGGUAAUUCCAGCUCCAAUAGCGUAUAUUAAAGUUGUUGCAGUUAAAAAGCUCGUAGUUGAAUUUCGGGAUCAGUACGCUGGUCAUGCCUUUGGUAUGCACUGGUGUCACUGGUUUCUCCCUUCUGAAGAACCGUGAUGUCAUUAAUUUGGUGUCGCGGGGAAUCAGGACUGUUACUUUGAAAAAUUAGAGUGUUUAAAGCAGGCUCACGCUUGAAUACAUUAGCAUGGAAUAAUGAAAUAGGACGUUUGACCCUAUUUUGUUGGUUUCUAGGAUCGACGUAAUGAUUAAUAGGGAUAGUUGGGGGCAUUAGUAUUCAAUUGUCAGAGGUGAAAUUCUUGGAUUUAUUGAAGACUAACUACUGCGAAAGCAUUUGCCAAGGAUGUUUUCAUUAAUCAAGAACGAAAGUUAGGGGAUCGAAGACGAUCAGAUACCGUCGUAGUCU
rnacentral:rRNA from 1 species